rnacentral:lncRNA from 1 species
GAGUGCUACCUAUCUGCUUGUUUUAUUAAUAGUCACCCUCUUUCAACACCUGGAAGACUAGAAAUGCCAGAUGGUUGGAUCCAAGUCACUUUGCCCUAGAAAAUGCAGUGAGUUUUUAAAAAAUCAGGCUGCAGUCACCUUUUAUCUAAAGUGUCAGUGCACUUUCUAAAAUCAGAGGAUAGUCUUGUUUAACUCAGUAGAUGAUGCUAAAGGACCUUGAAAGGUCUCUGAUGUGAAGCAGGGCGCCAUGGACAGGGCAGAGCCAGCUGCUGUUCAUCUCUCCCCAGGAUCCAGCCUUCUCCUGAACCUGGGCCCUGGGCAGUAUCUUCCGGGGUUCAGUCCGGAGCACCCAGAAGAGUCCAGUGCAGUGUGGGAGCAUGCUGACGAUGCAAGUGAGACAGCCUGGCAAGCAUUCUGCCUAACAUCAGUCCCAGAGACACGGCCAGUGGCUGCCCCAGCCGCUAUGUGUGCAGCAAAGAAUUUCAUUGGAACUGAGAGGGGUCCCAGGUCAAGCCUCACAGCAAACACCCCUCCUCCAUCCCACAAGGAGGAAGCAGAGGAGGAAAAGAUUGGAUUCUUGUAAACAGUCUCCUCUCCCACCCCAAGGAGCUCAGGCUGGGGCAAAACUCAUUCAAUCACCGAGGACUUUUGGAUACGCAAACCCCUGGUCAUUCAGCAGGGACACUUCCUGGGACCUUUGUUAAUCCCCAGAUUGACCUCUGCCCAUGAGUGUAUUUUUCCCAUAAGAUUAAAUCACAGAUGUGGGGAAAUGUAGGCAGUACCUCUAGAGCCUCUGUGGGAGAGACCAGCAGGCAAGGGCAGGUCCACAACAGCAGAGCCACCAUGGGGUGGGGACAGGGUGUCCGCUGCACUGACCCCAAGGAGGAAGUUUCCCUCAGACAAAGGCAGACUUAGGACUCCAUCAGAAGUCACUGGGAGACCUGCUUACCCAACCAAACCAAGAGUAAGAUGACCAGCAUAUUGAUAGGAGUAAGUCUAAUGGGUAGCAGGCACUGCAGGUGUUAUACACACACCAUCCAGGCUCAUCCCACUGCAACCCCUAACGUG